rnacentral:misc_RNA from 1 species
GGAAGUAAAAGUCGCAACAAGGUCUCCGUUGGUGAACCAGCGGAGGGAUCAUUACCGAGUUUACAACUCCCAAACCCCAUGUGAACCUUACCAAACGUUGCUUCGGCGGGAUGCCCCGGGCGCGGGCCGCAAGGCCUCAGCCCCGGAACCAGGCGCCCGCCGGAGGCCCAAACCAAACUCUUGUUUUUGUAGAAUCUUCUGAGUGGCCUUUUAGGCAAAAAAUGAAUCAAAACUUUCAACAACGGAUCUCUUGGUUCUG